rnacentral:rRNA from 1 species
AUUGAACGCUGGCGGCAGGCCUAACACAUGCAAGUCGAGCGGAUGAAGGGGGCUCGCUCCUGGAUUCAGCGGCGGACGGGUGAGUAAUGCCUAGGAAUCUGCCUGGUAGUGGGGGAUAACGUCCGGAAACGGGCGCUAAUACCGCAUACGUCCUGAGGGAGAAAGUGGGGGAUCUUCGGACCUCACGCUAUCAGAUGAGCCUAGGUCGGAUUAGCUAGUUGGUGGGGUAAAGGCCUACCAAGGCGACGAUCCGUAACUGGUCUGAGAGGAUGAUCAGUCACACUGGAACUGAGACACGGUCCAGACUCCUACGGGAGGCAGCAGUGGGGAAUAUUGGACAAAGGGCGAAAGCCUGAUCCAGCCAUGCCGCGUGUGUGAAGAAGGUCUUCGGAUUGUAAAGCACUUUAAGUUGGGAGGAAGGGCAGUAAGUUAAUACCUUGCUGUUUUGACGUUACCAACAGAAUAAGCACCGGCUAACUUCGUG